rnacentral:rRNA from 1 species
GACAGAGGGUGCAAACGUUGUUCGGAAUUACUGGGCGUAAGGCGAGUGUAGGCGGUUUGGAUAGUCGGAUGUGAAAGCCCCGGGCUCAACCCGGGAAGUGCAUUCGAUACUCCCAAGCUAGAGUAUCGGAGAGGUUGGUGGAAUUCUCGGUGUAGAGGUGAAAUUCGUAGAUAUCGAGAGGAACACCGGUGGCGAAGGCGGCCAACUGGACGAAUACUGACGCUGAGACUCGAAAGCGUGGGGAGCAAACAGG